UUUUUAAAAUUGUGAAAUGUAAAGUUACAGACUUUGAGUUACUUGCCAUUUCGUUAUUUUUUAAUGCACAAUUUUCUUACCCACUACAUAUGAUUGUGCUCAUAAGUGCUAAACGCCCAUUU